UCAGAUUUUUAACCCUUUUUCCUUCUCUCUCUCCUCAUUUCUAUCUCCUCCCGAUUUUUGCUCCAGCCGCCCGACCUUUCCUCCUUCUCCUUGACGCCACGGCCGCCACACUUGGAACCGAUCUCCUCCGUUGGUACCAAACGAACCACCACUCGACCGCCGACGUUUCUUGACCCUUCGCCGGAGUUUCCGUGGCCGGAACUCGCCGGAAAACUCCAUUUUCGCCGGAUUUCCAGUUUAAACUUUGAGCUCGAUUUUCUCCUUCAAUGCUCCACCAAAUCGAUCGAGUAAGGCACCAGAGGUCCAGUCGACUUGCAGGAAGGACCUUCGAAGGGUCCAAUUAGCUCGGACCAUCUGCAGUAGACGUGCACAGGAAUCCACCACCGGGCC